CAGUCAACUUGCCGGAAGUCGUUUUCACUCUUGUGCUCUGAGCAUCUGUAUCCGUAUGUGAGAUCCGGGGUUCACAUCCACUACUGCUUUGCUUUGUGCUUCAACCCUCGCCCCUCGUUCUCGUUUGCUGUCACUCUGUUUAGCUGAGGUUUGCCAGUGUAGUUGCUGUUGGAAGUUUUCAUCAUAACACGCGAUUUAAAAUUUACUGAUCAAUCGAUUUUCUAGACUAUAGUUGUGUUUCCGUUGCUUAUUGAUUCGCUGGCUCGCAUUGUGAGAAUGUUUAAGUGACUAGUUUCAGCCGAGCAGUCUAUUUCAGUGUGUUUUGCGAUUUCAUUUGGUAAAUUACAGUUUUGUGUCAGUGCUUCUGAAGCGUGCUCUGUGGUGUUUAGAGAUUCCAAACACCUUACCAGGAGACAAAAAAGAAGCCCACGUCAUAAGCAUCGGUGUUUCAAUAUGAAUGGUGAUGGGAUUGAAUGCACCGUCUCCACGAAGUGUUCGAGAUUGACGUCUACGGAACGUCAUCUCGGCGCUCAACCAGGCGAUCAGCCUUACGUGUGCUCAGUAUGCCAGGAGACGUUUUCUACUGGUCAGCUGCUUGAAAGGCACCUCAGCGUACACACAGUUGCCAAGCCGCACGAGUGCGCAGUGUGCCAGAAGAAAUUUGCUAGGGGCGAUCAUCUCAAAAUUCACCUUCGCACACACACAGGGGUAAAGCCGUACGCCUGCACAGUCUGCCCCACGAUGUAUACUUCAGGCCAAGAUCUAAGACGUCACCUUCACACACACAGGGGAAAAGCCGCUGGAAUGCACAGUGUGCCAGAAGAGAUUUGCUAGGGACGAUCAUCUCAAAAAUCACUUUCGCACACACACAGGGGAAAAGCCGUACGCCUGCACAGUCUGCCCCACGAUGUAUACUUCAGGCAAAGAUCUCAGACGUCACCUUCGCACACACACAGGGGAAAAGCCGCUGGAAUGCACAGUGUGCCAGAAGAAAUUUGCUAGGGACGAUCAUC